rnacentral:rRNA from 1 species
CCUACGGGAGGCAGCAGUGGGGAAUCUUGCGCAAUGGCCUAACGGCUGACGCAGCGACGCCGCGUGGGGGAGGAAGGGCUUCGGCUCGUAAACCCCUGUUGCCCGGGGCGAACAUCCCUUUUCGAGGGGACUGACGGUACCGGGUGAGGAAGCACCGGCUAACUCCGUGCCAGCAGCCGCGGUAAU